UCGAGAAUCUUUCGCAAUGGGGGAAACCCUGACGACGCGACGCCGCGUGGAGGAUGAAGGCCUUCGGGUUGUAAACUCCUGUCAGCAGGGGAGAACAAGCAUUUGGUGAAUCACUGAGAGCUUUGACAGUACCUACAGAGGAAGCCACGGCUAACUCUGUGCAAGCAGCCGCGGUAAUACAGAGGUGGCAAGCGUUGUUCGGAUGUAUUGGGCGUAAAGGGUCCGUAGGCGGACUGGAAAGUUGGAUGUGAAAUCCCACAGCUUAACUGUGGAACUGCAUUCAGAACU
rnacentral:rRNA from 1 species